GACGAACGCUGGCGGCGUGCCUAAUACAUGCAAGUUGAGCGAUGAAGAUUGGUGCUUGCACCAAUUUGAAGAGCAGCGAACGGGUGAGUAACGCGUGGGGAAUCUGCCUUUGAGCGGGGGACAACAUUUGGAAACGAAUGCUAAUACCGCAUAACAACUUUAAACAUAAGUUUUAAGUUUGAAAGAUGCAAUUGCAUCACUCAAAGAUGAUCCCGCGUUGUAUUAGCUAGUUGGUGAGGUAAAGGCUCACCAAGGCGAUGAUACAUAGCCGACCUGAGAGGGUGAUCGGCCACAUUGGGACUGAGACACGGCCCAAACUCCUACGGGAGGCAGCAGUAGGGAAUCUUCGGCAAUAGACGAAAGUCUGACCGAGCAACGCCGCGUGAGUGAAGAAGGUUUUCGGAUCGUAAAACUCUGUUGGUAGAGAAGAACGUUGGUGAGAGUGGAAAGCUCAUCGAGUGACGGUAACUACCCAGAAAGGGACGGCUAACUACGUG
rnacentral:rRNA from 1 species